AUCCACAGCCAUAUCACCCUGUACCCCAAGACCGGUUACUCACUGAAGCUAAGCAAGGCUGAGCCUGGUCAGUACCUGGAUGGGCGACCAAAUGGGAAAACUAGGUUGCUGUUGAAA
ensembl:rRNA 5S_rRNA 5S ribosomal RNA